GUCAUUACUCCAUACAGUGAGUAUCCUCAGUUGCUUGGGUUUCUCUUGAAACUGCUCAAUGGUGAACUGGCUUGGUCAACAAGAAGAGAGGUUUUGAAGGUUCUUGGCAUCAUGGGUGCUUUAGAUCCCCAUGUGCACAAACGCAAUCAGCAAAGCUUACCUGGAUCCCAUGGUGAAGUUAUAGGGGUGACUGAUGAUCCUGGUCAACAUAUAAGAUCAAUGGAUGAAUUGCCUUACGGAUCUCUGGCCAUCUUUUGCAACAUCUGAGGAUUAUUUUCCACUGUUGCUAUCAACUCACUCAUGCAGAUUCUCAGGGAUCCAUCUCUGUCAAGUUACCACCAGAAAGUGGUUGGAUCUCUUAUGUUUAUUUUCAAGUCAAUGGGCCUGGCGUGUGUCCCUUAUUUGACUAAGAAUUUUCCUGAUCUCUAUCAAUUGUAUGCAUAUGUGAGGAUGGUCUAAAGGAAUUUAUAACAUGGAAACUUGGAACCUUGGUAUCUAUUGCACGACAGGGGAAAGUAUCCUUCACGAACGCGCUUGAAGAAACCAAGUGAACUUUAUUUGCCUAUUUGAAUGUUUUCAUUUAGGGGAAGACGUUUGCUAAACCUGAACUCAAAUCAUGCAUUGAGGAGUUUGAAGAAAAGUUGAAUAAAUUCGACAUUGAGAGGAAGGAACAAGAACUUACUGCCAAAAAUGCUCAAAGCCAUCAACAGAAAGUUGAGAGCUUGGACAACAUCACGGUGACUGAAAAAGAAGAAGAGGAAAUCAGUGAAUCUGAAAUUACUGGUGCCUACACUCAAUCAUAAACUUAUGCACAGUCCUGGAACAAUUUAUAUCUUCCUUAAUCUCCCAGCGCAGUGCCUUGUUGGAAAUACUUGAGUCCAUCCUGACUACUAAAUCUCUGGAAGGUCUUCGUGCAAGUCAACUUGCAUGUAGGGUUUGUGUUAUUUUUUCAG